rnacentral:rRNA from 1 species
UACGAGGGGGGCGAGCGUUGUUCGGAAUUAUUGGGCGUAAAGGGUGCGUAGGCGGUUUGGUAAGUCAGUGGUGAAAUCUUUGGGCUUAACCCAGAAACUGCCAUUGAUACUGCUGAUCUAGAGUACAGUUGCCGUUGGCGGAAUAUGACAUGUGGUGGUGAAAUACUUAGAUAUGUCAUAGAACACCGAUUGCGAAGGCAGCUAACGAAGCUGUAACUGACGCUGAGGCUCGAAAGUGCGGGGAUCAAACAGG